rnacentral:rRNA from 1 species
UACGGAGGGGACUAGCGUUGUUCGGAAUUACUGGGCGUAAAGAGUACGUAGGCUGUUGAUCAAGUUGGAUGUGAAAGCCCGGGGCUCAACCCCGGAACUGCAUUCAAAACUGGUCAGCUAGAGAUCGGAAGAGGUAAGUGGAAUUCCCAGUGUAGAGGUGAAAUUCGUAGAUAUUGGGAAGAACACCGGUGGCGAAGGCGACUUACUGGUCCGAUACUGACGCUGAGGUACGAAAGCGUGGGGAGCAAACAGG